CAUACCACAGGAUCAAUUGAAUCGGCAAGGUCAUCGAAAUUUGUAGCACGACCUUGGGCAAUCAAAAUGCGACGGUCUUCCUGGUAGAGACGCUCAUCAUCCUACGAUGGAUUCAACCGUGCCAAUGCUCUAGCAAGUCUAUUGUGCUUCCGUAAGAAAAAAUAAUUUGAGUGGUGGCCAUAUUGGGGUCACAUCGGGACCCUUAUAAUGAAGGGACCAGAUGGACUGCUAACAAACCUCAAAACUCUGACGCGUCAAGUGUAUGGCAGGCAACAGUUUCAGUGUCUUGAUGCAUAGCUGUCCGCCGAUCCUCCAGCUCCUCAUCGUUGCAGUUACUUCAAACAUAGCUAUUGCUUAUCUAGAAUAAGGACCUACGAGAAUUCCGAAGGAACUGAUGAGUACACAACGAAUUCUUCGAGUGGAAGGG